rnacentral:rRNA from 1 species
CGCUUGCCACUUUGUGGUUCAUGACUGGGGUGAAGUCGUAACAAGGUAGCGCUAGGGGAACCUGGCGCUGGAUCACCUCCUUACACGAAGAU